rnacentral:rRNA from 1 species
UACGAAGGGGGCUAGCGUUGCUCGGAAUCACUGGGCGUAAAGGGUGCGUAGGCGGGUCUUUAAGUCAGGGGUGAAAACCUGGAGCUCAACUCCAGAACUGCCUUUGAUACUGAGGAUCUUGAGUACGGGAGAGGUGAGUGGAACUGCGAGUGUAGAGGUGAAAUUCGUAGAUAUUCGCAAGAACACCAGUGGCGAAGGCGGCUCACUGGCCCGUAACUGACGCUGAGGCACGAAAGCGUGGGGAGCAAACAGG